GACGAACGCUGGCGGCGUGCCUAAUACAUGCAAGUCGAACGAACUCUGGUAUUGAUUGGUGCUUGCAUCAUGAUUUACAUUUGAGUGAGUGGCGAACUGGUGAGUAACACGUGGGAAACCUGCCCAGAAGCGGGGGAUAACACCUGGAAACAGAUGCUAAUACCGCAUAACAACUUGGACCGCAUGGUCCGAGUUUGAAAGAUGGCUUCGGCUAUCACUUUUGGAUGGUCCCGCGGCGUAUUAGCUAGAUGGUGGGGUAACGGCUCACCAUGGCAAUGAUACGUAGCCGACCUGAGAGGGUAAUCGGCCACAUUGGGACUGAGACACGGCCCAAACUCCUACGGGAGGCAGCAGUAGGGAAUCUUCCACAAUGGACGAAAGUCUGAUGGAGCAACGCCGCGUGAGUGAAGAAGGGUUUCGGCUCGUAAAACUCUGUUGUUAAAGAAGAACAUAUCUGAGAGUAACUGUUCAGGUAUUGACGGUAUUUAACCAGAAAGCCACGGCUAACUACGUGCCAGCAGCCGCGGUAAUACGUAGGUGGCAAGCGUUGUCCGGAUUUAUUGGGCGUAAAGCGAGCGCAGGCGGUUUUUUAAGUCUGAUGUGAAAGCCUUCGGCUCAACCGAAGAAGUGCAUCGGAAACUGGGAAACUUGAGUGCAGAAGAGGACAGUGGAACUCCAUGUGUAGCGGUGAAAUGCGUAGAUAUAUGGAAGAACACCAGUGGCGAAGGCGGCUGUCUGGUCUGUAACUGACGCUGAGGCUCGAAAGUAUGGGUAGCAAACAGGAUUAGAUACCCUGGUAGUCCAUACCGUAAACGAUGAAUGCUAAGUGUUGGAGGGUUUCCGCCCUUCAGUGCUGCAGCUAACGCAUUAAGCAUUCCGCCUGGGGAGUACGGCCGCAAGGCUGAAACUCAAAGGAAUUGACGGGGGCCCGCACAAGCGGUGGAGCAUGUGGUUUAAUUCGAAGCUACGCGAAGAACCUUACCAGGUCUUGACAUACUAUGCAAAUCUAAGAGAUUAGACGUUCCCUUCGGGGACAUGGAUACAGGUGGUGCAUGGUUGUCGUCAGCUCGUGUCGUGAGAUGUUGGGUUAAGUCCCGCAACGAGCGCAACCCUUAUUAUCAGUUGCCAGCAUUAAGUUGGGCACUCUGGUGAGACUGCCGGUGACAAACCGGAGGAAGGUGGGGAUGACGUCAAAUCAUCAUGCCCCUUAUGACCUGGGCUACACACGUGCUACAAUGGAUGGUACAACGAGUUGCGAACUCGCGAGAGUAAGCUAAUCUCUUAAAGCCAUUCUCAGUUCGGAUUGUAGGCUGCAACUCGCCUACAUGAAGUUGGAAUCGCUAGUAAUCGCGGAUCAGCAUGCCGCGGUGAAUACGUUCCCGGGCCUUGUACACACCGCCCGUCACACCAUGAGAGUUUGUAACACCCAAAGUCGGUGGGGUAACCUUUUAGGAACCAGCCGCCUAAGGUGGGACAGAUGAUUAGGGUG
rnacentral:rRNA from 1 species